GGCGGACGGCACCGAUCUUGAAACGAGCUUUAAAGUUGGGUUCGUCCCAGCAUGGGAAAGCUGAACGAGCUGACGUCGGUUGGAAAUGAGUCGUCACCAAGUACCUGUCGGUGACACAACAAUGAGAAAUGAAUAUCAGGAAAAAACCCGGAAGCAGUCGAGACUUACCGUUUCAUUCCGCUGGGCGCUUUGUAGCUGGAGAGGUAGAGGCCUUCGAGAUCGGUGCGGACCAUGCCCUCGUAUCGGAGUGCCAGCGAGUAAUUGUUGCCCGGCAGGAGAUAAUUCUUGAGCUCGAUGUAGAUCUGCUGAUGGUAAGGGUAGUAGAGGGUCCUGGUGGUGAGUAUUUCUCUCAUGUUCUUAUCCUUGACCAUGACGACGGUGAGAGUGACGUCCUUGCCGUGAAAGACGAUGAAAUUGGUCUCCUUUUGGACGGCGAAAACGACUUCCAUCUGGCCGCGUAGGAAGAGCGUCGUCAGGUUGGGGUGGAGGACGACGCUGUAGCGGAGCGGGACGAUCGAGUCGGGCAGUCGGACGUCAUUCCACGGGAACGGCUCGCCGUUGGUGGCGAUGGCCUCCGGUGGAGCAGUGACGGCGACUUCCUCGUGGAAAUCCAGUCCGCCUUCGUCGACGUGCCCGCAAUGGCUGGGCCUGACGAAGGCAAUGAUGAGCGAACAGGUCAACAGCGUCACCAGGAUGAGUCCAAUAAUGACGACGGCCUGCCUCCUGGAACACGUCGCCACCGGGAACUGAAAGUCUGAGACGAGUAGCCCCGAGGGAGGGAUUUAUCCAAAUGAUAUUGCACACAGCCGGAGACCCGGGGAAAUAAGUUUGCCAUACACACACAGACACACUGGGCAGACAUCUGGCAAUCCAGAAUUUUUCCAGUUUUAUUUUCUAAACUAUCUAAGCUCCAUAAAAAGGGAUUUUUCUUUUCACUGGAAGGAUUUUUCAAGAGCUCCCAAGUCAAUGUUGACCCAUUUGCCAACCCUGUCCGGAAUUCAUCAGGAAGACAGAAGGGGGGAACGCCAACGGAAGCCGGAUGUCAUUUUCAUUCCCUUUUUUGAC